AAACGCCAUUUGCAGCAAACUUGUGUCGUCUGCAACAGAUGCUUUUUUCAAACCGCAAAAUGAAGACAUUUGAACCGUUCAGCGCCGUUUUGAUUAAGACUUCUGGAGUUUUGUUGCGGUGGAGUUUAUGUUUACGAAAUCAGGCGUUAUAGAAGAAACUGAAUACACGCUAUGGAGGCUCAGGCAUGGAGGAGGAUGCUCCCAUUCCUAGCAAGAGACCAAGGCUAUUUCAAUCCGGACCAGACAUUUUGAAGUGUAUCAUCUUUCAAAAAGAUACAGACCAGUUUACAACGAGUUCAGAAAAUGGGAGAUCGAAAGUAAAAGAAGCAGCAAGUAUCAGAAAUGACUGUGUCAAUGAACGUUUACUUAGACUUGAAUCUGAUUUCUUUGUGUAUCAUAUUUCAUAUAUGUGUUAUAAAGCAUACACCCAUAAUAAAUCUUUAGAUAAAAUA